rnacentral:rRNA from 1 species
UACGAAGGGACCUAGCGUAGUUCGGAAUUACUGGGCUUAAAGAGUUCGUAGGUGGUUGAAAAAGUUAGUGGUGAAAUCCCAGAGCUUAACUCUGGAACUGCCAUUAAAACUUUUCAGCUAGAGUAUGAUAGAGGAAAGCAGAAUUUCUAGUGUAGAGGUGAAAUUCGUAGAUAUUAGAAAGAAUACCAAUUGCGAAGGCAGCUUUCUGGAUCAUUACUGACACUGAGGAACGAAAGCAUGGGUAGCGAAGAGGAUUAGAUACCCUCGUAGUCCAUGCCGUAAACGAUGUGUGUUAGACGUUGGAAAUUUAUUUUCAGUGUCGCAGGGAAACCGAUAAACACACCGCCUGGGGAGUACGACCGCAAGGUUAAAACUCAAAUGAAUUGACGGGGACCCGCACAAGUAGUGGAGCAUAUGGUUUAAUUCGAAGAUACGCGCAGAACCUUACCAACACUUGACAUGUUCGUCGCGACUCUAAGAGAUUAGAGUUUUCGGUUCGGCCGGACGAAACACAGGUGCUGCAUGGCUGUCGUCAGCUCGUGUCGUGAGAUGUUGGGUUAAGUCCCGCAACGAGCGCAACCCUCACUUUUAGUUGCCAUCAUUAAGUUGGGCACUCUGAAAGAACUGCCAGUGAUAAGCUGGAGGAAGGUGGGGAUGACGUCAAGUCCUCAUGGCCCUUACGUGUUGGGCUACACACGUGCUACAAUGGUAUCUACAACAGGAAGCAAGACUGCGAAGUUUAGCAAAUCCCUAAAAGAUACCUCAGUUCGGAUUGCACUCUGCAACUCGAGUGCAUGAAGCUGGAAUUACUAGUAAUCGUGGAUCAGCGUGCCACGGUGAAUGCGUUCCCGGGUCU